rnacentral:rRNA from 1 species
GACGAACGCUGGCGGCGUGCUUAACACAUGCAAGUCGAGCGGUAAGGCCCUUCGGGGUACACGAGCGGCGAACGGGUGAGUAACACGUGGGUGAUCUGCCCUGUACUUCGGGAUAAGCCUGGGAAACUGGGUCUAAUACCGGAUAUGACCUCAGGAUGCAUGUCUUGUGGUGGAAAGAUUUAUCGGUACGGGAUGGGCCCGCGGCCUAUCAGCUUGUUGGUGGGGUAAUGGCCCACCAAGGCGACGACGGGUAGCCGACCUGAGAGGGUGACCGGCCACACUGGGACUGAGACACGGCCCAGACUCCUACGGGAGGCAGCAGUGGGGAAUAUUGCACAAUGGGCGGAAGCCUGAUGCAGCGACGCCGCGUGAGGGAUGACGGCCUUCGGGUUGUAAACCUCUUUCGACUCCGACGAAGCGAAAGUGACGGUAGGGGUAGAAGAAGCACCGGCCAACUACGUGCCAGCCGCCGCGGUAAAAC